UAGGGAAUAUUGCUUAAUGGGCGAAAGCCUGAAGCAGCAACGCCGCGUGUGUGAAGAAGGCCUUCGGGUUGUAAAACACUUUUUGAGGGGAUGAGGAAGGACAGUACCCUCAGAAUAAGCCUCGGCUAACUACGUGCCAGCAGCCGCGGUAAAACGUAGGAGGCGAGCGUUAUCCGGAUUUACUGGGCGUAAAGCGCGUGCAGGCGGCACGGCAAGUUGGAUGGGAAAGCUCCCGGCUUAACUGGGAGAGGUCGUUCAAAACUGCCGAGCUAGAGUGCGGGAGAGGGAGGUGGAAUUCCGGGUGUAGUGGUGAAAUGCGUAGAUAUCCGGAGGAACACCAGUGGCGAAAGCGGCCUCCUGGUCCGCAACUGACGCUCAGACGCGAAAGCUAGGGUAGCAAACG
rnacentral:rRNA from 1 species